UCUCUCUCUCUCUCUGCUUUCGAGUGAUAUGUGAACUGGAAUCAAUUUUCCGCUUGGUAUCCUCAUGGCAAAAGUUAGUGUUUGAGUCUUGGCCUGCCUUGCUAGAUGAAGUUCAAUCUCAAUUUGAGAUUAAUGCCGGGAAUACAUGUUUGUUUGGUUUUUGUGUGCAGUUCGUGGAGAAAUCAAGGCAUAUUGUUUUGCUUUUUUUCCGGUAAAUGUAUAUUUAUACCAAAAAAACAGCACUUACAAAAGAGAUACUUCCCUUUGCCAACCAAGAAAACCCAGACAACAACAGCACAAAAUGAAACAAAACUUUACAUCAAACAAACCAUUUACAGAACUAGCUACAAUGAAUACUGACAGGUAGAUUCCAAGCCUGGCAAAUUUGAGCACUAAGGUGGCACUUCCUGAAACUCCUCCGGUUACUUGCUCUCCCUUUGAUAUCACUUACUAUGGAGCAUAAAAUUGCCUCACCAUUCUUUGCUUUCCCCUGAAAAACUCUGGCAUUCCACUCUAGCCAUAUCGAUUAACAGUACCAGCUAGGGCCAUCUUGAGCAUAACACAGACCAAGUUCUUCCCUUUCACAUGCCCCAAGAACCAAGCUAACUCUGAUCCUAACCCCAGUUUUCUCAACAAAUUUGCCCAUACCCUUUUUGAGUAUAUCGAAUCAAAGAAGAGAUGGUCAAUUGAUUCUUCCAUUCUACUGCAGCGAACACAUUGGGGAUCAACAUUUAUAUUCCGCAAUCGAAUUCUAUCUUUACUUCCUAAUCUGGCUCUGCAGCAAGUCCAUAAUAUGAAAGCCCAUCUUGUGAUAUGACCUUUAAGCUACACAAUAUGGUGCCGAGGAACCUGUUGACCUUCUUCACUGAUCAAGGCAUAGUGGUUAUAUAUGUUUUGCUGGAAUGAUCUGGUUCGACAUACGGUGGGAUAUCAGCUCCUGAAUGCGCCUUUUGAAACUUGAAGCGGCAAGCUUUCAGGCAAAAAUAAUCAUUCUGCUGUAUUCUUGUUUCUCCUAUUCGUACGGUUUGGAGGAGUUCAUUCAAACAUUCAGUGUUGGUGAAUUCAGAACAGGGCUUCAACUUCUUUUUGCUUUCCAUGGCCAAAUCAGCACUGGAAUAUGUUGAGGGUCUUACUUAAGUCCUUACCAUAUGGAAAAUAUGAAGAUUUUAUAUAAUUUAUUUGGCUUCUACGUGUAAUAUUUGCCAAUGGUAUUGGAGUACAUCGAAGAUAAGAGAAACUAUAUCUAGGUGAAGUUGAAACAACAUUCAAAGCUAUGUUGCUGGGAGAUUCACCAAAGCUACAUUUCUAUAGAGAAGUCAAAAGGCAGGAGGCAGAAACUUAAAGAUCUCAUACAAAAAUAUACUGUAAGUAUCGUAGUUGAUAUAUUGUCUCAUUCUCCUCAUUCUGUAAUUAUGUGUACGUCGUCGUACUUUCUAUGUCUGCAACAUCUUUCUUACAAUAAAUUUACUGAUGUGUUUUUCUUGUCAACAAGAAGUUUCAGUGUGUGACUAGCCUAGCUGCUUGCAAAAUCUGAGGACUGGUGAUUUAACUUUGUCUAUUGAUUUAAUUUUAUGUACAGGAAGCAAUGCAACAUCCGGUACUGUUUAUUAUCAACCAAGAAACACUAGAAAGAGGGUUAAAACUGUCAUCUGAACUGCAAGGUCCUCAACCCCUCAUUGAGUCUUCUGACAAGAACAGGGAGAUGCUGAAUGUUUGCAUGUGAUCAGACUCUAUUCAGAGAAGGACAGGGCUACAUGGUUUUCAGAUUGGAAAAGGAAAGUAGAUUGUGUUUUGCAAAAGUUGCUACUUGAGAAGACACCUGAGUUUGAACUCUUAUAUUCCUAUGGAUUGAAGGCUUUUUUCCCCAAUUCUCUGUGUUUCAUUUUGACUUUGGAUUUCCCUAGGACUUCUGUUUCUUCAUUUUAUGCAAUUAUUCCUGUAUCUUAUGUUAUUAGAAUGCGUUAUGCAGUUGUUGGAACAUGGAAGUACCUUAGUUGCACAAAGUGGGAGUG